CCUUUCGGGGUGAGUGGCGGACGGGUGAGUAACGCGUGAGAAUCUGCCUAGAGGUCGGGGACAACCAUUGGAAACGAUGGCUAAUACCGGAUAUGCCUUACGGGGUGAAAGAUUAAUCGCCUUUAGAAGAGCUCGCGUCUGAUUAGUUAGUUGGUAGGGUAAAAGCCUACCAAGGCAUCGAUCAGUAGCUGGUCUGAGAGGAUGACCAGCCACACUGGGACUGAGACACGGCCCAGACUCCUACGGGAGGCAGCAGUGGGGAAUUUUCCGCAAUGGGCGAAAGCCUGACGGAGCAAGACCGCGUGAGGGAGGAAGGCUCUUGGGUCGUAAACCUCUUUUGUCAGGGAAGAACAAAAUGACGGUACCUGACGAAUCAGCAUCGGCUAACUCCGUGCCAGCAGCCGCGGUAAUACGGAGGAUGCAAGCGUUAUCCGGAAUUAUUGGGCGUAAAGCGUCCGCAGGUGGCACUUCAAGUCUGUCGUCAAAGACCGGGGCUUAACCCUGGAAAGGCGAUGGAAACUGAAAGGCUAGAGAGAGGUAGGGGUAGAGGGAAUUCCCAGUGUAGCGGUGAAAUGCGUAGAGAUUGGGAAGAACAUCGGUGGCGA
rnacentral:rRNA from 1 species